AGCUCUUUUCUCUGUUUGUGGUCGGUCUUUACAGGUUAACCAGCCUAAACUGAUCUUGAAAGACAAGUUUUGAGAUCAAAGUUGGCAAGGGAAGAAGUAUCAAGCUGCAACCAUCAAUAACCGAAGAAGUGCCCUUGCAGCCUUUUGCAAGGGUCGAAAUUUAGUACAAGCAAACCGUAAUGGACAAGAGUUUCAAAAUGAUGAGGUUGAAGAUGAGGACAUAUUUGAGAUUGGGGUGUUCGUAAAGUUAUGCAGAAGCAACCAUGGCAGCCCAUAGCAGUUCCCACAGCUAGAAGGUCACCAGCAUAAUGCCUUUGCAUUCACAAGUUUCAAGAGGUGUGUUUGGUGAGGCUAAAAGGAUCUUCUGCUGGGU